CGGCUGAGGCUGCGGCCACUGCCUGGCACCCCGACGGGAGGGGCUCCGGAUCGUUCGGAGCCGGCUGAACCCCUUCGGCCGCGAGCGACCGCAUGAGUCGGGGGACUAUGCCCCAGCCCGAAGCGUGGCCAGGCGCGAGCUGCGCCGAGACGCCGGCGCGGGAGGGCGGGAAGGCGGCGGCCAGCGGGCAGCCGCGGCCCGAGAUGCAGUGCCCGGCCGAGCAUGAGGAGGACAUGUACCGUGCUGCAGAUGAAAUAGAAAAGGAGAAAGAAUUGCUUAUACAUGAAAGAGGGGCAUCAGGUAUGUUUGGAAUUGUUUUAUUUAUAGAGUUCUUAUUGUUUAUAGCAGAAAAUGCAGUUAAAUCCAUAUAUCCAUUUUCAUAAAAUAUCAAUAAAAUAUUCUUAUGUAUAUGGUCUUAUCUACAUUGAUUGUUUUGCUGAAGUAUGUUAGAGACUGUUUCCUGAGGUUUUUAAAUUUUAAUGCAAGCAUUUUCUCUGCAUUCUUUACAUUCAUAUCGUUUUUCACACCUAUGAGGAUUGUUUUGUUUAAUCUCUUGACACCGUCCUCUCUCAGUUCUUGAUUUCCUUAUAUUCUUAGAGGGAGAGUUCAGAUUUGAAGUGCAUUUUUCAUUUCAAAUGGAAAGACUUAACUGAGAAACUGGCUGUGCACAUCUUUGCAUGCAGAUGGCCAUAUGAAUGUGAUUAAGUAAUAAGAAAGAC
rnacentral:sRNA from 1 species